rnacentral:rRNA from 1 species
UACGGAGGGGGCUAGCGUUGUUCGGAAUUACUGGGCGUAAAGCGCACGUAGGCGGCUUUGUAAGUUAGAGGUGAAAGCCCGGGGCUCAACCCCGGAGGUGCAUCCGAAACUCUGGGGCUGGAGGUCGGAAGAGGAGGGUGGAAUACCCAGUGUAGAGGUGAAAUUCGUAGAUAUCGGGAGGAAUACCAGCGGCGAAGGCGGCCUUCUGGACGGUGACUGACGCUGAGACGCGAAAGCGUGGGGAGCAAACAGG